GCAGGUAGUUGGAAAGAGACCACAGACAUUGAGGGAAGCUCACUCGGGACCUAUUCUUCACCCAGUUUCUCCGGCAAAGUGGGGCUGACGGCGUGAUGAGCUACUUUGUGGAGUCUGCAGUGAGUGGCCCUGCCCACUACUCAGCGGUGCGACCUGCAGCAGUGAGGCAGGGACCUCUCAGCUCUUACGAAGAUCCUCGAAUGGCCUGUGGUUUCCAGUCCGCUUAUCACCCGCCAAGAGCUUGCUACCCCUUCUGGGAUGAGAUGGCCACUCAGGAAGUGCCCACUGGUCUUGAACACUGUGGCUCAGGUAGGAACAUCAACGGAGGCUGAGACUGAGGAUGGAGUUGAAGGACAAUGGCAAUUGGAUGAGGGCUGCAUCCUGCAUCCUCUGCUGUCACAGCUGCCCUGGCUCACGUGGGUUCCGGAUGCUAUUGUUCUAUGGAAAGUCCCAGGACUUUUCAGUCACCUUGAGUGACUUUAUUCUCCAGUGACAGGAAGACUAAACUCUAGGAAUGGGCCCACGCGAGGUUGCUUUAGGUCUUCAUUUUGUAAAUAGUUCUCUCCACUCUGCCUGUCCCGAGCCUUAUCCACUUCAGCCUGGCUGUUGACAAAGGACCUAGAAGGUUUGCAGUCAUGAAGUAUGACAGAUAGACAGAGGGUGUGUGACCUAGGCAGCCUUCU